UACGUAGGGUGCAAGCGUUGUCCGGAAUUAUUGGGCGUAAAGAGCUCGUAGGCGGCCUGUUGCGUCCGCUGUGAAAUCCCCGGGCUCAACCCGGGAACUGCGUCCGAUACUGGAAGGCUUGAAUCCGGGAGAGGGAUGUGGAAUUCCAGGUGUAGCGGUGAAAUGCGUAGAUAUCUGGAGGAACACCGGUGGCGAAGGCGACAUCCUGGACCGGUAUUGACGCUGAGGCGCGAAAGCCAGGGGAGCAAACGGG
rnacentral:rRNA from 1 species